rnacentral:antisense_RNA from 1 species
GGGCCGGCGGCGGCCAGGGAGGUCGGGGUGCGCGGGGCUCGGCACCCCCUCGGCCCGCGCUGCGCCAGCACCACCUGCGGAGCUGCGGUGCCCACGCCGUGCCGCGACCCCGCCGCCCCCUGCUCCCUCCACACGCGGGCAAACAAAACAAGUUGCCGGUCGCUGCCGCCGGAGGGGGCCGGGCGGGUCACUCACCCUCAUCCUGCUCAGCGGGCUUGGGUCGUCCGGCCGCGGGGUCAGGGAAGACCAGAGGACCACUAGCCCCAGGAAGCUUCCCACCACCAGCAAACUGCGUGGUGAAUUUGUAACCGAAAGGCCCAGGUGAGAUGUGCAAAUAUCACUGGAUUGGAGGAGCUCACUUGGAAAGCCAGUAUUUCUCCUGAGCUAAUGAAAAGAAAGGCUGUCGUCUUACGCCAAAAGCAAUACCAACCUUGUUCACGGGCUGAGAUCUCCAGUGUGUAAUUCACGAAGUAUGAAUCUGCUGGGUAAUGUGAUAUGAAAAGCGAAUGCACCAUUUCUUGGUGAUGAUUCAGGUCAGCGUUGGGAUCCAGGAAUCUCCUGUUAAUCAGUACCCUGGUGAUUUUGAUCCAGGUCAUCAAGACCAUGGCUUCCAUCGUAGGCGGUCACACUCUUUCUCUCUUGGAUCAUUUGCUGUGGGGAAGCAAACUGUCAUAUGAGAGGACACUCAAACAGCCACUGGAGUCUCAUUUGCUAAGGAACUGAGGACUCCAGCCUGAGAACUCAGGCAAGUAACUGAGGCCUGCCAACAACCAUGGAGCAAGCCUGGAAGUGGAUCCUCCCUCAGCCUUCAGUUGAGACAACAGCUGGAAUGACAGCCAAGCCAGCGCCACCCAGCUUAGCCACCCCCAGAGAACUAACUCUCAGAAACCAUGUAAGAUAAUACAUGUUUGUUGUUUUAAGCUGCUAAGUUUUGGGGUAAUUUAUUAUACAAUAGAUAAUUAAAACACAUAGCAUAUAAAUAAAAUCAAUAAAACCAGUAUGGGUCAGUAAUGAGUAAAUUAGAUAAUUAGACAAAUUUUGACAUUUCUGUUUCUAUGUUAAUUAUUUUUCUCCAGAAAAAUUCCCUACGGGUAAAAUAUGUUAAGAGUGGUUACCAACAGGACAUUUUAAAAUUAAUAAUUAGUUUGGGAGGCCAAGGCGGUUGGAUUGCUUUAACUCAGGAGUUUGAGGCCAACCUGGGCAACAUGACAAAACCCUGUCUCUACAAAAAAUACAAAAAUUAAUCAGGCAUGGUUGUGUGUGCCUGUAGUCCCAGCCACUUGGGAAGCUGAGGUGGGAGGAUCAAUUGAGCCCGGGAGGCCAGGCUGCAGUGAGUCAAAAUCAUACCACCUCAAUCCAGCCUGAGCAACAGAGUGAGACCCUAUCUAAAAUAUAUACAUAUAUAUUAACAAUUAUCUCUUGAAACUAAAGUAUAAUCACAGUAUUAUUUCCCAUUUUAUUAAAUGCACUAAACAGUAUUGCAAUGUGUUUGUGUUUAUUAAAAAAUAUUUUGGAAAUCUUUGGGAGAAAAGCUACUUCAAAUUAGUCUGAAAACUAUCAUUUCUUUCUAGCAAUGUGUAAUAAUGUAAUGACUGCUUAGUAGAAUUUCCUGAGAGGGAAUGUAACAUAUAUUUUAAGCAUAAUAUUGUAAACAAACAAGUUCUUUUGCAGUACUUGAAGAUCUUUUUUGUGACUAUUCCCCUUAUAUCUUAUGAAGAUACAUUUUUUGUGACUAUCCUCUUUAUAUGUAUUGUGAAGAUAGGGUUUUUUAUGGUGAAUAUCCUCCUAAUGCUACUAGUAUUGUUUGCUAUCUGUCAUUAUUCUUAGUGUAAAAUUAAACUUCAACAGAGUACCUUUGUGAA